AGAGUUUGAUCCUGGCUCAGAUUGAACGCUGGCGGCAGGCUUAACACAUGCAAGUCGAGCGGAGAUGAGGUGCUUGCACCUUAUCUUAGCGGCGGACGGGUGAGUAAUGCUUAGGAAUCUGCCUAUUAGUGGGGGACAACAUUCCGAAAGGAAUGCUAAUACCGCAUACGUCCUACGGGAGAAAGCAGGGGAUCUUCGGACCUUGCGCUAAUAGAUGAGCCUAAGUCGGAUUAGCUAGUUGGUGGGGUAAAGGCCUACCAAGGCGACGAUCUGUAGCGGGUCUGAGAGGAUGAUCCGCCACACUGGGACUGAGACACGGCCCAGACUCCUACGGGAGGCAGCAGUGGGGAAUAUUGGACAAUGGGGGGAACCCUGAUCCAGCCAUGCCGCGUGUGUGAAGAAGGCCUUAUGGUUGUAAAGCACUUUAAGCGAGGAGGAGGCUACUGAGACUAAUACUCUUGGAUAGUGGACGUUACUCGCAGAAUAAGCACCGGCUAACUCUGUGCCAGCAGCCGCGGUAAUACAGAGGGUGCGAGCGUUAAUCGGAUUUACUGGGCGUAAAGCGUGCGUAGGCGGCUUUUUAAGUCGGAUGUGAAAUCCCCGAGCUUAACUUGGGAAUUGCAUUCGAUACUGGGAAGCUAGAGUAUGGGAGAGGAUGGUAGAAUUCCAGGUGUAGCGGUGAAAUGCGUAGAGAUCUGGAGGAAUACCGAUGGCGAAGGCAGCCAUC
rnacentral:rRNA from 1 species